UAUAAUUAAAAUUAAUAUUUUUAAUUUUAAGUUAUUAAAUGUUAAGUCAUUAAAUUUAAAAGAUUUGGCGGUAUUUUAAAUAAUUAGAGGAACCUGUGUAGUAAUUGAUGAUCCACGAUAAGAGUAACUUAUUUCAUUAAGUUUAUGUAUUGCUGUUAAAAGAUUAUUAUUAAUAUAAAUUUUUAAGUAAUUAUAUUUAAUUUAAUUCAAGUCAAAAUAUAGUUUAUUUAAGAUUAAUAUGGGUUACAAUUUUUUUAUUAUUGGAUAAAUUAUAUUUAAUUUAAUUUUGAAAUAGGAUUUAAUAGUAAAUUUAAUGAAUUAAUUAAUUUGAAGAUUAAAAUAAAAUAAGU
rnacentral:rRNA from 1 species